ACGAAGAGUUUGAUCCUGGCUCAGGAUGAACGCUAGCGGGAGGCUUAAUACAUGCAAGUCGAGGGGUAACAGGGUCUUCGGACCGCUGACGACCGGCGAACGGGUGAGUUACGCGUACGCAACUUGCCUUCAAGCGGAGGAUAGCCCCGGGAAACUGGGAUUAAUACUCCAUGGUAUCAUGAAACCGCAUGGUUUUAUGAUUAAAGAUCAGUCGCUUGAAGAUAGGCGUGCGUGCUAUUAGCUAGUUGGUAAGGUAACGGCUUACCAAGGCUACGAUAGCUAGGGGGCGUGAGAGCGUGGCCCCCCACACGGGUACUGAGACACGGACCCGACUCCUACGGGAGGCAGCAGUAAGGAAUAUUGGACAAUGGAGGAAACUCUGAACCAGCCAUCCCGCGUGAAGGAUGAAUGCCCUCUGGGUAGUAAACUUCUUUUAUAUACCAAGAAUAGCAGAGAUUUAUCUUUGUAUGACGGUAGUAUAUGAAUAAGCACCGGCUAACUCCGUGCCAGCAGCCGCGGUAAUACG
rnacentral:rRNA from 1 species